CAUUACCGAGUUUACAACUCCCAAACCCCUGUGAACAUACCUUAAUGUUGCCUCGGCGGAUCAGCCCGCGCCCCGUAAAACGGGACGGCCCGCCAGAGGACCCAAACUCUAAUGUUUCUUAUUGUAACUUCUGAGUAAAACAAACAAAUAAAUCAAAACUUUCAACAACGGAUCUCUUGGUUCUGGCAUCGAUGAAGAACGCAGCAAAAUGCGAUAAGUAAUGUGAAUUGCAGAAUUCAGUGAAUCAUCGAAUCUUUGAACGCACAUUGCGCCCGCUGGUAUUCCGGCGGGCAUGCCUGUUCGAGCGUCAUUUCAACCCUCAAGCCCCCGGGUUUGGUGUUGGGGAUCGGCUCUGCCCUCCUGGGCGGUGCCGCCCCCGAAAUACAUUGGCGGUCUCGCUGCAGCCUCCAUUGCGUAGUAGCUAACACCUCGCAACUGGAACGCGGCGCGGCCAUGCCGUAAAACCCCAACUUCUGAAUGUUGACCUCGGAUCAGGUAGGAAUACCCGCUGAACUUAAGCAUAUCAA
rnacentral:rRNA from 1 species